UACAGAGGUGGCGAGCGUUACUCGGAUUUAUUGGGUGUAAAGGGCAAGUAGGCGUGUCAACAAGUUAGAAGUGAAAUCCUGCAGCUCAACUGCAGAACUGCUUUUAAAACUGUUGGGAUUGAGACUGGAAGAGGAAAGCGGAAUUCUCGGUGUAAGGGUGAAAUCUGUAGAUAUCGAGAGGAACACCAGUGGCGAAGGCGGCUUUCUGGUCCAUUACUGACGCUGAGUUGCGAAAGCUAGGGGAGCAAACAGG
rnacentral:rRNA from 1 species